rnacentral:rRNA from 1 species
ACGGGUGAGUAACGCGUGGGAAUCUACCCAUCUCUGCGGAAUAGCUCUGGGAAACUGGAAUUAAUACCGCAUACGCCCUACGGGGGAAAGAUUUAUCGGGGAUGGAUGAGCCCGCGUUGGAUUAGCUAGUUGGUGGGGUAAAGGCCUACCAAGGCGACGAUCCAUAGCUGGUCUGAGAGGAUGAUCAGCCACAUUGGGACUGAGACACGGCCCAAACUCCUACGGGAGGCAGCAGUGGGGAAUAUUGGACAAUGGGCGCAAGCCUGAUCCAGCCAUGCCGCGUGAGUGAUGAAGGCCUUAGGGUUGUAAAGCUCUUUCACCGAUGAAGAUAAUGACGGUAGUCGGAGAAGAAGCCCCGGCUAACUUCGUGCCAGCAGCCGCGGUAAUACGAAGGGGGCUAGCGUUGUUCGGAAUUACUGGGCGUAAAGCGCACGUAGGCGGAUAUUUAAGUCAGGGGUGAAAUCCCGCAGCUCAACUGCGGAACUGCCUUUGAUACUGGGUACCUUGAGUAUGGAAGAGGUAAGUGGAAUUCCGAGUGUAGAGGUGAAAUUCGUAGA